ACUCCGCUCCGCAGCCGGGCCCCGAGCGAGCUCCGCGCCGCCGGCCGGGAGUCCGGGGCUCACGAGUUCAAAGGGCCGCGGCCCCGAGGGGAUGCCCUCCUCGCUGUGCCCCGGGGGGCAGAAGCGGACCGCAGGGCGGUGGGACCGGCCCGGGCCACGAUAGAAAGGUGUCCAUAACUGGGGUAGUUGACUCAAAAUAGCAAUGAUGACAACAAUAGUGUGGUAACGACCUAGAUUGAGCACUCACUAUGCAUCAGAGACCUGGCCACCCACUGUGAUUUUCUGUGAUCCUUACAGCAGCUGGAGGAGGACUGAUGGGCUAAACAGACUUAAUGCUUGGCUGUCAGCAUCCCUGUGGAAGACUCCAGCAGACCCACAUGUCCUACGGUUCAACUUUUCAAACCUACCUCUUUGUAAUUCCUAAGUAGGAGUCUGAGCUCUGUUGUCAUAUUUCAGUUUUACAGUUACUCUGAAAUAUUUUGAUCCAAAUAUGCCCUUAGUGUCAUGCUUUAUUAAUGCGAUAUGACUCAUAUUAGUGACUGCUUGUUCUUGAGCCAUAUGCCCUGAAUAAGUUAUUGGGUUUCACUGUUUACCCUAAGUUUAAAAAAAAAUUCCAUGCGCUCUGACCUCGUGACACCUAAACCCUGCUCAUGCAGUUAAAACAGGAAAACUAGUUAUCUGAUAUCAUGAAGGCAAAUCAGCUUGUAGAAGCCCUCAGAUGUUUCCAUUCCCACUGGUGGGAGGGCAUUGUGGGAGCCAUGGAUUAUUCAUCAAGAAAGCACAGGAGAGAAUUUCUUUUUUGUUUGUUGAUUUCCAAAGUAAACCCAAGUAU
rnacentral:lncRNA from 1 species